AAGUAUUCUCCACCUCAAAGCAGCCUGCAAGAAAACAGAAUGAAGGGCCAGGCCAGUGAUACAAUUACUUUACAUUCAGAAACCAGGAAAAAGACCCAGUGGCUGAGAAACACAGUUCCUCAAAAUUACUGGAUACCCCUACUUGUAGAGAAACGCCAUUCUCUGCCUUGGUGAGAUCUGCCAACAAAGAACAGGUUCUGACCACGAAGACUUAAUGAGUGUAAAACAGCAGUCACAAAUACAUAUCUAUCUCUUGUACACUACAGUGAAACGUCUGGCAACUGCUGACACUGAUGAAAAGUCCUCUUAAGAUAAUGGAUAAACAGAACUGGCAAUACCUAACCGGAAACUAUCUAUUGAGACUGCUAACUGGAUAAGGACUUCAUUGCUACGCUCCACCCCCAACCCAGUAUCUCCUCUUCAGGGAUGAAAUACGUCCUUGCUGCAGAACGCUCCUCUCCUCAGCUGCAAACAGAAACAUCUCAGGCAAUACGUCUCCACAGAUUACCAUCUGCAUAUGCCAUUCUGUGGUUAGCUUUGGCUGGUCAAUGCAUCUGGUAAUUGAUAUUUUUAUCUUUCAUCAGUAAAACAAAAAAAAUUCCACCUCAAGAAAAACCCACGUGAGCACUUCUACCCCCUCAAGCAACAGCAAGACUGCUCCAACAGCCCGUGGCACACCUUCCAAUGAGAGAAAAAGAAACCCCAGAAGUUAAUUUCUCAUGAAACAAAAACUAUUGCUUUGGGAAGUUUAGCAUUUAGUUGCCUUAACAGGCCAGCAGUCAGCUGGUCUGCCUAUGAGAUCACUGCUUGCCAAAGUCCAGAUUUUAUCUAGAUUCAGAAAAAGGGAGAGAACUCAUAAGCCAGGGAAAGCGACCUCGUAGAGCUCAGAGGGAUGUUUAACCCAGGGUGUCAUGGAGCUUGUUUGACUUUGGGUUAAUGUGAACAGAGGACAUACGUUUGUACUUCUCUCUAUUAUAUCCAGAGGAGAGAAAGGGAAAGAAAAUCCAUUUGCUCAACAUGGAAAGGUCAAAUGUGUAUUGCCCAAUUCCUAAAACUGCGUAUGAAAAUCAUCAGAAAAUUACAUCAGAAAAAGAAACUCUCUAAACAGCAUCCUUUAUUAUCUAAGAAGGACAGUCAAACUACGUCACAUAGGAAUUCAUGUAGGAUGUAAAUACAUGUUUGCUUUAGCAGGGUGUUUUCUUUAACAAGGCUUGGCAUCUAACUGCAUUCCAUUUGAAUUAAACUGUUUUU
rnacentral:lncRNA from 7 species